rnacentral:rRNA from 1 species
GACGAACGCUGGCGGCGUGCUUAACACAUGCAAGUCGAACGGAAAGGCCCUGCUUUUGUGGGGUGCUCGAGUGGCGAACGGGUGAGUAACACGUGAGUAACCUGCCCUUGACUUUGGGAUAACUUCAGGAAACUGGGGCUAAUACCGGAUAGGAGCUCCUGCUGCAUGGUGGGGGUUGGAAAGUUUCGGCGGUUGGGGAUGGACUCGCGGCUUAUCAGCUUGUUGGUGGGGUAGUGGCUUACCAAGGCUUUGACGGGUAGCCGGCCUGAGAGGGUGACCGGCCACAUUGGGACUGAGAUACGGCCCAGACUCCUACGGGAGGCAGCAGUGGGGAAUAUUGCACUAUGGGCGGAAGCCUGAUGCAGCAACGCCGCGUGCGGGAUGACGGCCUUCGGGUUGUAAACCGCUUUCGCCUGUGACGAAGCGUGAGUGACGGUAAUGGGUAAAUAAGCACCGGCUAACUACGUG